rnacentral:pre_miRNA from 1 species
AUGGGGAUGUAACGCAUGUUGUUUUCUGCGAGGAGCAUUUGUACAUGUUUCAUGUAGCAUGAAAUCACAUUCCAUACAUGAAUAGUAAUUACCUUAGAUAGGACAUUGUACUGCUUGAAAAAACUUGUUAACGUCAUAAAAUUUAUGAUGAAAACACCUAUAAAAAGUGUUUUUUCAAGCAUGUGUCCAUGAGAGUAAUUUUUAUUCAUAUAUGACAUGUGAUUUCAUCCUUCAUAAAAUGUGUGCAAAUGCUUUCCACAGGAAACAACAUACGUUACAUCCCAUCUA